AAAACCACAGAGUUUUAUCUCCCAGUUCCUGUGGGUCAGGAAUUCGGGCUCUGCCAAACUGGGUCCUCUGCUCAGGGUCUUUCAUGAGUCUGCAAUCCAGGUGUCAGCCGGGGCUGCAGUCUCAUCAGAAGGCUCAGCUACGAGGAGAUUCACUUCCAGCUCCCCCAGGUGGCUGUUGGUAGAGUUUCAGGUCUUUCAUGAGUCUGCAAUCCAGGUGUCAGCUGGGGCUGCAGUCUCAUCAGAAGGCUCAGCUAAGAUGAGAUUCACUUCCAGCUCCCCCAGGUGGCUGUUGGUAGAGUUUCAUUCCCAAUGGGCAGCUGGCCUGAGGACCCCAAAUCUUCCCUGGUUCCUGCCCUCAGUUCCUUACUGGCCAUGCCUCUUCACAGGGCAGCACACAGCAUGGCAUCUGGCUACCCCAGAGCCAGCGA
rnacentral:lncRNA from 10 species